GAUGGGGCCACAAGUGGGGGGGUCAAAGUUUUACAUACAAAUAUAGGAGAAAGCUUUAAAAAUCUUCUUCUCAAGAACCAUUGGGCCAAAGAAAUUGACAUUUACAUGAAAGCUUUCUGACAUAGUGUAGAUUCAAGUAUGCAAAGGGUAGUUUGGGCCAUAAUAGGGACUAAGGUUUUACAUGCAAAUAUAUAUGGAAAGUCUUCAGAUAUGGGCCAAAGUGACUCAGGUGAGCGAUGUGGCCCAUGGGCCUCUUGUUACAAAUCAUGACCCCUGGGGGUAGGAUGGGGUCACAAUAGAGACCAAAGUUUUACAUGCGAAUAUAUAGGGAAAAUCUUUAGAACUGGACCAGGGUGACUCAGGUGAGCGAUGUGGCCCAUGGGCCUCUUUGUUAACCUAUAUCUUUUAUUUGUGUGAAGAUAUUCAAACAUUAAGAACAGACAUAUAUAUAUAAAUCUUUUUUUCUUUCAUUUUUUCAUCCAGGGUAGUUUAGAACUGUGUGCUUUGGUUUUGGAAGAAUUUGGGCUGUUUAGGCUAAAAUCCAUUAUGAUUGGACAGAAUAUGAACACACACAUCCAAUACUUCAAAGAUAUUAUGUUUGUGGAGGCAGAGAUUUUGAUUGCAUCCACUGUUUAGAAUACAUCCUUAAGGGAAGCAGACUGCCGCCUUUACCCAAUGAUAUAAUGAUUAAUCAUAACUAUAUCUGUUUUGUACCAAAUAGAAAGAGCAUUGAUUCAGGUCAUUUUCAAAUCCACUGGCAUACAUUGUACUAUACAUGCAACCUUUUCAAACUUUACAUUUAAGAUUUUAUAAAGGAAAUAUCUUAAUGUUUCACAUGUUUACCUUUCACUGUGCUAUGUAAUUCAUUAUACCUGCCAUUAUGCCAGUCUUCCUGAACAUAAUUUGUUUUCUGCAAUUUCAUUGGCCAAGAGGCUUAAUCCUGGGUUUUCAGAUUGAGCAUUUAUAUUUAGUAUCCCAUUGAUUUUGUUAGCCCUAUAUAAGGAGCUGACUCAGAUUUACUCACUCUGCUAGGUUAAAGAACUCUAAGGUUUGUACUUUUCACAUGAAUUUCGUGUUCGCCUCUUAUCUUUUACAUAGAGUAGGAAAUGAACAUAACAUUGAGUUAGGGAACUAUUUAGAUUUUACAUUAUAAUAUGUAAAUACCUUAGCAGAGUCAAUUUACUUGGUUCAGGGUAGUAUCAGAUAUUACUUUUUCAGAGUUUAAGUGUUUAGGCUAUCUCAAUGUUUCUAUAGUUAGCCUUGUCCUAUGUUACUUUUAGAUGUAUGGAAGCCUUUUAGUGUUAUAACACUAUAUUUAUGCCCCCAUUCAAAGAAGAGGGGCAUAUUGGUUUGCACCUGUUGGUCGGUCGGUAGACCACAUGUUGUCUGCUUAAUAUCUUAAGAACCAUUCACUUGAUCGUAAUAUAUUUCAUAUGUGGGUUGGUUAUGAAAAGAAGAGGACCCCAAUUGUUUUUCAGGUCGAAAUGUCAAGGGUCAAUCUACUCUGGACAUAGGAAGACACUGCCUGCUCAAUAUCUUGAGAACCCUUUGCUUGACAGACAUCAAACUUGGUACACUGGUACAUCUCAAGGAGUAGAUUUGAGGUCAUAUGGUCAAAGGUCAAGGGGUAAACUGGACAUAGUAAUAUAUUGUCUCUUAUGUUUUAAGAAUUAUUUGCUUGAUUGACACCAAACCUGGUACAGCAUAAGGAGUAGAUGACCCCUAUUGAUUUUUAGGUCACUUGGUCAAUCCACUCCUGACAUAGGAAGAUAUUGUUUGCUCAAUAUUUCGAAUUGAUGAUACUACUAUCAAUCAAAUUAUGCAUAUGUAUAACCCUUUUCAAUUUUGCACCAUGGGGGCUUAUAUGUAAUUGUUUUACAAACACCUCAUGUUUUAUAGUUUGUGAAAGCUUGUUAGGGUCGUAACUUUAGAUUUUCUUAUUAUGGUACUUGCCCGUCAGAGACUGGACAUAUUAUGGUAUGGUGUUGUCUGUCCGGACCUUGUAAGAUGGGAUACAGACUGAACCGUAAGCUCUAGAAUCUUACAACUUGGUACAUUUGAUCACCAUAAAAGGAAGAUGCUUAUUGUUUUUUAAGGUCAAGGUUGUAGGUUCACUUAAUAGGAAAACCUUGUUCGAGAAAAUUACAGAUUCUUGAACUGAGUAUUUUGAGGAAACAUUACAUUGAAAGUACAUGAUUUGUCAAAUUUCUCCCAAUAUUCAACUGAGAACCUUAUUCUGCAGAGUAUUUGUAUGGGUAUGGAAAAUGUGUAUGUGGCUAUGAUUUUGAUUUUUGUUUAAAUUUUUGUUGUUGAAAAUUACAGGUUUAACCGAGUCAGUUUUUGAGGAAAUAUACAUGUAUUAAAUAAAUGACGGUUUGACCUUUUAACUCCUCUCACAGUUUUGAAGCUAGGGUCUUUGUAAAUAACUUCUUUGGUGUUUUAGAAUAUUUACAGAUUGUUGAUCAUGGUCAAUUUUGGGGAAAUAUUUUCCGCAGAGCUCUAGUUGUCUAUCUACCGGCCUCCUGUCACUUUUAAGUUUAGGAGCUUUUAUUCAUGGAAAGAAAGUAUGUGACAACCUGAUGAUGGCUGAUACUAUUUAAAGCCUUUUUAUACGCCCGUCUUAAGAUGGGACGUAUUAUGGUAUGGCGUUCAUGUCCGUCCGUCUGUUAGCUUUUUCGUGUCCGACCCGUAACUUAAAUACUACAAGGCCUAGAAUCAUCAAACUUUGUCUGUAGAUACAUCUUGGGUAGAAGGUGUGUCGCACAUUAAAACCAGGUCACUGUGACUUUUCAUUAGGAAGAUAUGGCCAUAUAUGGCAAAAACUUGUCCGACUCAUAACUUGAAAACUAUUAGACCUAGAAUCACCAAAAUUGGUCAACUAAUGCAUCUUAGGUAGAAGGUGUGUCGCAUCCUACUUUAAGGUCACUGUGACAUUUAAUUAAGGUGAUAUAAAAAAAAUGUUUUAAUGGGUACAAUCUAUACUGUUAACAAUAUGUGACGGGCAUAUCAUGUGCCGUGGCGGUGCACUUUAUUCUAGAAAUGGCAUCAGAAAAACACCCUAUGUAACCUUUUCUGCUUGUACUCAUUUAUUUUUAUUGGAAAACUUAUUACUUGUUAUCAGCUACUCUAAAACAAUAUUGACUUGUGCUAUAAUAAAUUUGUAAACUUUA